GCCAUUGUUUGGAGGAGGGGUAAGGGGUUUGGCUUGGCUUUCCACCACCCCCCUUUUUAAUUUUUCAGUUUCUUAAGAAGUGCUUCAAAAAUACCCAUGUAAAUACAUUUUCUGAAGGAGGAGAGCCACAGGAAACCAGGAAUAAAUGCCUCAUUCAUUCUAUAGAAAACUUGCUGACUUUUGCAGAAAACUUUACAUUCAUGAGCCGAUAAUGACCCUUUCCAGUCACCUGCAAAGUCCUCUAACGUAAUCACAAACUCAUCAAGGUACAAGUUAAAUCACGUAAUAGACAUUGCCCCAGAUACUACACGUCUGUUGGAUCACCAGGGGAGAACUCCAAACAUUAACAGGCUAAGAAAUGUCCCCCAAAGAGGGCAAGGAAUUCUGUGAUGUCAGUGGGAGCUGCAAGUGGAGACCCCAGAACCCAGAGCAGAGAUCAGUAUUUCCAAAUAUUAAAAGAAGAUAUAAACUCAACUGCACUGAAUCGAGGGGAAGCAACAGCCAACUCUUUGCCCUCCAUCGAGGGAACGCACCCGAAACUUCACCGUGUCUGCUGACCACACCAAAUUUAACAAGGUUCACAAAUGAACUGGAGUAAGUUUCCCACAGUGACACAUUAAUAAUAAGUUCCUUAUCCCAUCUAUCCCAAGCCAUGAAUAUGUAAUGUUGUAAAAUGAGUCCUUUUCACACAACAGAACCUCAGACGUGAAUAAAUAAAAACUAUCCAUCACAAGCCUGUGAAAAAUUAAUGAGAGU